rnacentral:rRNA from 1 species
UGGGGAAUUUUGGACAAUGGGCGAAAGCCUGAUCCAGCAAUGCCGCGUGUGUGAAGAAGGCCUUCGGGUUGUAAAGCACUUUUGUCCGGAAAGAAAUCCUUGGCUCUAAUACAGUCGGGGGAUGACGGUACCGGAAGAAUAAGCACCGGCUAACUACGUGCCAGCAGCCGCGGUAAUACGUAGGGUGCAAGCGUUAAUCGGAAUUACUGGGCGUAAAGCGUGCGCAGGCGGUUUGCUAAUGACCGAUGUGAAAUCCCCGGGCUAAACCCUGGGGAACUGCAUUGGUGGACUGGCAGGCUAGAGUAUGGCAGAGGGGGGUAGAAUUCCACGGUGUAGCAGUGAAAUGCGUAGAGAUGUGGAGGAAUACCGAUGGCGAAGGCAGCCCCCUGGGCCCAAUACUGACGCUCAUGCACGAAAGCGUGGGGAGCAAACAGGAUUAGAUACCCUGGUAGUCCACGCCCUAAACGAUGUCAACUAGUUGUUGGGGAUUCAUUUCCUUAGUAACGUAGCUAACGCGUGAAGUUGACCGCCUGGGGAGUACGGUCGCAAGAUUAAAACUUAAAGGAAUUGACGGGGUCAUAGCUGUUUCCU